UGCCUGCCUGUGAGAAGCUUCGUCUGGAUUUAGCUCCGUGAUUUAUUUCAAUUACUGAUGAAAAAAGACUUCUCGAGCAGGAGCUUCACGUCAGACCUCCACCAACCACAUGUUUGUUCUCUAACAGAUGAAGUUCAUGUUAAUAA